CGUGAUCAUCCGCUGCGCACGCAUCGGAGAACCACGUGACCUCCGAAAGCCGAGGUCAUGCCCACUCGGAAGUUUACCGCUGAAAAAUCUUCUCUCUUCUGCCAAGCAAAUAUUUGAAUGAUGAAGACAAUGUCAUAUUUCCUCAGUACAAAGCCAAGUGUGACCAGCUGCUUCUAACAAACAGCAGGUAUGUUACCCCUGUCAAAGCAGAGAACAUCCUUUCCUCAAGCACAGAGCCGAUUGGAUCAGGCUUAGUUUGACCUCAAUAUCCAGCGAUAUGUCCAAACAAACAAACCGUCAGACACAACUGCGAGCAAAUUUAAGGCCGAGACACCGAGCCACGAGGGCAAACAGUUUCAUGCCUAUUGGGCAUCUUUACAGAAAGCUGAAGACCCAUCAACAGAAGUACUUUGUGUUUGAGAAGGAGACCUUGAGUUUAUUGUUUUUGGAGAAAUUUAAGAACAAAAAUUACAGACUGUUUAGAUGAAGCUUACUAUCGCAGCCAUUCAAUUUGCAAAUUACGUACAUGGCAGGACGAGAGGACCUAGUUGCCAAAGUGUUGUUGCAACUUUGAUGAAAAAAGAUGGAAGUGUUACAUAGCAGGAAAAAGUGGACUGUGGUAGUGCGUGUUUGCAUGCUUAGAGUCAACGAAAUGUGUAUGUAUUGUUUACUAAUCGUGUAAGGCUAAGGAAUUUUUUAAAAAAUUAGACCAUCUCUGUAUAUUGAUUGGUUCUUUUUAAGAGGGGUGGAAGGUUGGAUGAUAUUGUGGCUUGAAGAUAUUUAUUUUGUUUUUUCUUUCUUGUUGAAGAGAGGUUUUAUGGCAGAAGUGUCAAGAAGUCUGCACUAGAGUAAACAGUUUGAGGCUCCUUUUAAAGUUGGAACAACAGAAGCAGCCUGACUGGGUGUGGUCAAGCUCUCACAGAAUGACAUUUUUAGUUUUGGCUUUCAGCAAAAUUGUCGGUGUCUUGAUGACAAGAAAGCUAGUUUUCUUCCUCUCAGUUACAGUCAGAAGCUGCAGAUUCUCUUUCUGCUACUGGAGUUGAAUGUGAGACUAUAUAUUUUAUUGAAUUUGUCUUUUGCCAAGGAUGUUUAUGGGAUAUUACUGUAUUGGAACAGU